rnacentral:lncRNA from 1 species
GGAUGCUGGUGGGGGGACCCCCGCGCUCUCCGGGCGACCCUCUGCAGCCUCUACUCUGCCCCGUCUGUCAUCUUCUCCCGACCCGGCGACCCCGUUCUCCCCCUCGCCCCUCAUUCCCCGGGACUGUCCUUCUUAACAGCGCCCUUCACCCCGCCCGGCCCGCGAGGUAGUCCUCAGCAGGGGACAAGGUCCGGACGUGGCGCCCCCAGAAGGAGCGCGGAGAGCCCCUGGGACCCAGUCCCGCCAGUUUCGUCGUGUUUUGUACUUAAGUUGAGGAUUCCACACCGUGUGGUACUUUCAGAAGAGAUGUAGUGGUGAAUCAAUCGCAACGGUAAGGGGAGCAGACCUGGACAUCUGAUACUUGAUCAGCAAUUCACCUUGCCUGAAAAUGUUUUGACUUUGUUUCAUGUUCCAAGUGCCGAAAUGAUCGCACGCCUCGUUAGAAGUUGAACGUUACUCUUUUCUUCAAAUGCAGGUUGUGAUGUUUUCCUAAUUAGGUAUUGAGAAUUACCAUUGGUAUUUGGAAUUAGAUUGCGGAGCAUUUAGGAACCGUUCUCGCUAUGUUGCCCAGGCUGGUCUUGAACUCCUCAGCUGAAAUGAGCCUCCCACCUCGGCCUCCCAAAGUGCUGGGAUUACAGGCGUCCCCUCUGCCCCAGUACUGUUUCCUCUCCCCAGCCCAGCCCCCACAGCUGCCUGCCCUGGCCUCACUCCCUGGCCUCCCCCAUCCCAGCCUCUGGGUCCCUGAGUCAGUCCCUGGGGCUGUCUGCCUUCUAGGGGAGCCUCUGGUGUGGACCAGAAAGUAACCUAAUCCCUUCCAGGCCCACCCUGGAAACAAAGGGAUUUGUCCACUAGCCUGGUGGUGAGAACCAUGUGGCCUCCUGUCUCUGGCAGAGAGGACUCCAGGAUCAAGGGCAGGUAAAAGGAGGAGCCUCCUGGGGAGCUUCAGAAGGAGGGUCCCAAGUCCCUCCUGCCCCACUUCUGUGCCUGGGUCACUCACACCCCUGCCUGACUCUAGCCCCCCUUCUCCAGGGGUCUCCACAACAUGUGAAUCAUGCCCAGCGUCUUCCAUUACACCCUUGAUAAAGUCCUCUCCUCACCAGGACCUCUGUCAUUUUACCUCAUGGUUUUGAAAUAAUUUUUGGUCUUCUUAGCAGUUUAAAAAUAUUGUUUUGUUUUUUUUCCUGAGUUUGGAGCAUUCCUGUUACUAAUUACAUUUUUUUUUUAGACAGGUGUACACUACUACACCCAGCUAAUUUGUUUUGUUUUGUUUUGUUUUGGUAGAGAUAGGAUCUUGCUAUGGUACCCAGGCUGGUCUUCAACUCCUGGGCUCAAGCAAUCCUCCUGCAUUGGCCUCCCAAAGUGCUGGAAUUACAGGCAUGAGGCAGCACGCCCAGCCCUAAUUACUUCUAUUACGCCAAAUUCCUUGUGUGGAAUUCCUGUGCUUUGCACACAAAUUGCCAGGUUGGCCCCAAAGGGGAAAAAAGUGGAUCCCAUUUUCCCAUCUUCUAUGCCUACGUGGCUGACAAAUCUCCCGAAUCCCACAGGAGCUGUCGCUGAUCUUUGUCCUCUAUUCGCUGAAAUAAAGUUCACCAUGG